rnacentral:rRNA from 1 species
GAAGGGACCUAGCGUAGUUCGGAAUUACUGGGCUUAAAGAGUUCGUAGGUGGUUAAAAAAGUUGAUGGUGAAAUCCCAGAGCUCAACCUUGGAACUGCCAUCAAAACUUUUUAGCUAGAGUGUGAUAGAGGUAAGUGGAAUUUCUAGUGUAGAGGUGAAAUUCGUAGAUAUUAGAAAGAACACCAAAUGCGAAGGCAACUUACUGGGUCACUACUGACACUGAGGAGCGAAAGCAUGGGUAGCGAAGAGGAUUAGAUACCCUGGUAGUCCACGCCGUAAACGAUGUGUGCUAGCUGUUGGAAAUUUAUUUUCAGUGGCUGAGCUAACGUAUUAAGCACACCGCCUGGGGAGUACGGCCGCAAGGUUAAAACUCAAAGGAAUUGACGGGGACCCGCACAAGCGGUGGAGCAUGUGGUUUAAUUCGAUGAUACGCGAAGUACCUUACCUACCCUUGACAU